CGUAGCUCGGUGAAGAAACAUGGAGAUUUAAUUCGAUUUCCGAAAAGGGGGACGGGAAUUGGAUCGUGUUGGUACAUCAGACAAUAGUUGUAUUUUAGGUGGUGUCUGUCUAAAAAAAUGAAGCACCCGAAGCUAUGGAGAGCGUUGCUUUUCAUGACGGUGUUGUACCAGUUUGGGACGUCAAACAGAUACGGUUGUGUGUUUGAGGGAAGGCUGUGCUCCAGGGAGCAGUUCUGCUCUGAUGCCUCAUCAAUGCUCCUCUUCAACACCACAUAUCGUCUCCCUGGCAACGGUGAAAUCAUCAGGCUGAUAGCAGCUAGGCAGCUGGGUCAACGCCCCCACAAUCCCUCUCUCUCUCUCUCUCCUUCUCUCUUUAUCUCUAUGCUCCUCAGAAAGAGGAUGACUCACUAGUGCUUACACACUACUCCUCCACACAUAUGUACACAC
rnacentral:lncRNA from 1 species